AGUGAACGCUGGCGAUAGGCCUAACACAUGCAAGUCGAACGGCAGCACAGUAAGAGCUUGCUCUUACGGGUGGCGAGUGGCGGACGGGUGAGGAAUACAUCGGAAUCUACUUUUUCGUGGGGGAUAACGUAGGGAAACUUACGCUAAUACCGCAUACGACCUACGGGUGAAAGCAGGGGAUCUUCGGACCUUGCGCGAUUGAAUGAGCCGAUGUCGGAUUAGCUAGUUGGCGGGGUAAAGGCCCACCAAGGCGACGAUCCGUAGCUGGUCUGAGAGGAUGAUCAGCCACACUGGAAAGGGGACACGGUCCAGACCCCUACGGGGGGCAGGAGGGGGGAAUAUUGGAAAAGGGGCGAAAGCCUGAUCCAGCCAUACCGGGGGGGGGAAGAAGGCCUUCGGGUUGUAAAGCCCUUUUGUUGGGAAAAAAAAGAAGCAGGUUAAUACCCCGCUGUUCUGACGGUACCCAAAGAAUAAGCACCGGCUAACUUCGU
rnacentral:rRNA from 1 species